rnacentral:rRNA from 1 species
UGAGGAAUUUUCCACAAUGGGGGCAACCCUGAUGGAGCAACGCCGCGUGCAGGAGGACGCUUUUCGGAGUGUAAACUGCUUUUCCCAGGGACGAGCAAGGACGGUACCUGGGGAAUAAGCCCCGGCUAACUACGUGCCAGCAGCCGCGGUAAUACGUAGGGGACAAGCGUUGUCCGGAGUUACUGGGCGUAAAGCGCCCGCAGGCGGUCCGCUCAGUUUGCACCGACAGCUCCUGGCUUAACUGGGAGAGCGGUGCGAAGACGGGCGGACUUGAGGACCAGAGAGGGACAUGGAACUCCGGGUGUAGUGGUGAAAUGCGUAGAUAUCCGGAAGAACACCAAAGGCGAAGGCAGUGUCCUGGCUGGUACCUGACGCUGAGGGGCGAAAGCUAGGGGAGCGAAC